rnacentral:rRNA from 1 species
AGUGAACGCUGGCGGUAGGCCUAACACAUGCAAGUCGAACGGCAGCACAGUAAGAGCUUGCUCUUACGGGUGGCGAGUGGCGGACGGGUGAGGAAUACAUCGGAAUCUACUUUUUCGUGGGGGAUAACGUAGGGAAACUUACGCUAAUACCGCAUACGACCUACGGGUGAAAGCAGGGGAUCUUCGGACCUUGCGCGAUUGAAUGAGCCGAUGUCGGAUUAGCUAGUUGGCGGGGUAAAGGCCCACCAAGGCGACGAUCCGUAGCUGGUCUGAGAGGAUGAUCAGCCACACUGGAACUGAGACACGGUCCAGACUCCUACGGGAGGCAGCAGUGGGGAAUAUUGGACAAUGGGCGCAAGCCUGAUCCAGCCAUACCGCGUGGGUGAAGAAGGCCUUGGGGUUGUAAAGCCCUUUUGUUGGGAAAGAAAAGCAGCAGGUUAAUACCCCGCUGUUCUGACGGUACCCAAAGAAUAAGCACCGGCUAACUUCGUG